rnacentral:rRNA from 1 species
AGUGAGGAAUAUUGGACAAUGGGCGCAAGCCUGAUCCAGCCAUGCCGCGUGCAGGAAGACGGUCCUAUGGAUUGUAAACUGCUUUUAUACAGGAAGAAACACUCCUACGUGUAGGAACUUGACGGUACUGUAAGAAUAAGGAUCGGCUAACUCCGUGCCAGCAGCCGCGGUAAUACGGAGGAUCCAAGCGUUAUCCGGAAUCAUUGGGUUUAAAGGGUCCGUAGGCGGCCUUAUAAGUCAGUGGUGAAAUCUCCCAGCUCAACUGGGAAACUGCCAUUGAUACUGUAGGGCUUGAAUUAUUAGGAAGUAACUAGAAUAUGUAGUGUAGCGGUGAAAUGCUUAGAUAUUACAUGGAAUACCAAUUGCGAAGGCAGGUUACUACUAAUAUAUUGACGCUGAUGGACGAAAGCGUGGGUAGCGAACAGGAUUAGAUACCCUGGUAGUCCACGCCGUAAACGAUGGAUACUAGCUGUUCGGAGCAAUCUGAGUGGCUAAGCGAAAGUGAUAAGUAU